UGGGUGAUCUGCCCUGCACUUCGGGAUAAGCCUGGGAAACUGGGUCUAAUACCGGAUAUGAUCAUGCGCCUCCUGGUGUGUGGUGGAAAGCUUUUGCGGUGUGGGAUGGGCCCGCGGCCUAUCAGCUUGUUGGGUGGGUAAUGGCCUACCAAGGCGUCGACGGGUAGCCGGCCUGAGAGGGUGUCCCGGCCACACGUGGGACUGAGAUACCGGCCCAGACCUCCGUACGGGAGGCA
rnacentral:rRNA from 1 species